AACCUCGCCCUUCGACUCUGGGAUAAGCCCGGGAAACUGGGUCUAAUACUGGAUGCUACAUGUCACCGCAUGGUGGUGUGUGGAAAGGGUUUACUGGUCUUGGAUGGGCUCACGGCCUAUCAGCUUGUUGGUGAGGUAAUGGCUCACCAAGGCGACGACGGGUAGCCGGCCUGAGAGGGUGACCGGCCACACUGGGACUGAGACACGGCCCAGACUCCUACGGGAGGCAGCAGUGGGGAAUAUUGCACAAUGGGCGAAAGCCUGAUGCAGCGACGCCGCGUGAGGGAUGACGGCCUUCGGGUUGUAAACCUCUUUCAGCAGGGAAGAAGCCACAAGUGACGGUACCUGCAGAAGAAGCGCCGGCUAACUACGUGCCAGCAGCCGCGGUAAUACGUAGGGCGCAAGCGUUGUCCGGAAUUAUUGGGCGUAAAGAGCUCGUAGGCGGUUUGUCGCGUCUGCUGUGAAAGCCCGGGGCUUAACCCCGGGUGUGCAGUGGGUACGGGCAGACUAGAGUGCAGUAGGGGAGACUGGAAUUCCUGGUGUAGCGGUGGAAUGCGCAGAUAUCAGGAGGAACACCGAUGGCGAAGGCAGGUCUCUGGGCUGUUACUGACGCUGAGGAGCGAAAGCAUGGGGAGCGAACAGGAUUAGAUACCCUGGUAGUCCAUGCCGUAAACGUUGGGCACUAGGUGU
rnacentral:rRNA from 1 species